CAUGCAGUCGAACGGGGUCGCUCCUUCGGGGGCUAAACCCAGUGGCAGACGGCUGAGUAACGCGUGGGCGACCUGCCCCCGAGAACGGGAUAACUGCGGGAAACUGCAGCUAAUACCGUAUACACUCCCGUGCUUCAAUGCGCGGGAAGAAAGAUUUAUCGCUCGGGGAUGGGCCCGCGUCCUAUCAGGUAGUUGGUGCGGUAACGGCGCACCAAGCCGAAAACGGGUAUCUGGUGUGAGAGCAUGACCAGACAGAGGGGGACUGAGACACGGCCCCCACUCCUCCGGGAGGCAGCAGCAAGGGAUCGUGCACAAUGGGCGAAAGCCUGAUGCCGCGACGCCGCGUGAGGGAUGACGGCUUUCGAGUUGUAAACCUCUUUUCUCAGGGAAGAGAGAGGACGUAACCUGAGGAAUAAGUCACGGCUAACUACGUGCCAGCAGCCGCGGUAAUACGUAGGUGGCAAGCGUUGUCCGGAAUUACUGGGCGUAAAGGGUCCGUAGGCGGUUCGGUCAGUCUUCUGUGAAAGCUCCAGGCUCAACUUGGAGUUGUCGGGAGAAACUGCCGAACUAGAGACUGUCAGAGGCAGGUGGAAUUCCCGGUGUAGUGGUGAAAUACGUAGAUAUCGGGAGGAACACCAGUGGCGAAAGCGGCCUGCUGGGGCAGUUCUGACGCUAAGGGACUAAAGCGUGGGGAGCGAACCGGAUUAGAUACCCGGGUAGUCCACGCCCUAAACGAUGAAUGCUAGGUCUUCGGGGUGUUAAUUCCCUGUGGGCCGAAGGUAACCCAUUAAGCAUUUCGCCUGGGGACUACGGCCGCAAGGCUAAAACUCAAAGGAAUUGACGGGUCCCCGCACAAGCAGCGGAGCGUGUG
rnacentral:rRNA from 1 species